rnacentral:tRNA from 1 species
UAAGACUUACGGGAAACUAGGCCGUAUCUUCUGAAUGCAACACAGACACUUUAACUAAGCUAAAGCCUUG